ACGAACGCUGGCGGCGUGCUUAACACAUGCAAGUCGCACGGAAAGGCCCUGCUUUUGUGGGGUGCUCGAGUGGCGAACGGGUGAGUAACACGUGAGUAACCUGCCCUUGACUUUGGGAUAACUUCAGGAAACUGGGCCUAAUACCGGAUAGGAGCUCCUGCUGCAUGGUGGGGGUUGGAAAGUUUCGGCGGUUGGGGAUGGACUCGCGGCUUAUCAGCUUGUUGGUGGGGUAGUGGCUUACCAAGGCUUUGACGGGUAGCCGGCCUGAGAGGGUGACCGGCCACAUUGGGACUGAGAUACGGCCCAGACUCCUACGGGAGGCAGCAGUGGGGAAUAUUGCACAAUGGGCGGAAGCCUGAUGCAGCAACGCCGCGUGCGGGAUGACGGCCUUCGGGUUGUAAACCGCUUUCGCCUGUGACGAAGCGUGAGUGACGGUAAUGGGUAAAGAAGCACCGGCUAACUACGUG
rnacentral:rRNA from 1 species